UCCAAACGCCCACUAAAAUUCCCAAAAGUCCCAUUUAUGAAAUGCACGCAUAUCGAAAUACUGUUAAGUCAAAUCUUAUCCUUGUCACCUCUAUACCUUGUAGAUAGAUAAACAAUUAAAGAAAUUAAAGUCUUCGACAUCAAACAGCAAUAAUCGUGCCCAAAUAGUAAAUACCUAAUGAAUUAUAGGAAACUCCAAGUUCACUGGACCUGG
rnacentral:lncRNA from 1 species